rnacentral:rRNA from 1 species
UACGUAGGGGGCAAGCGUUGUUCGGAAUUAUUGGGCGUAAAGCGCGUGUAGGCGGCUUUGCAAGUCGGGUGUGAAAGCCCUCAGCUCAACUGGGAGGGUGCGCCGAAUACUGAAUGACUAGAGUGCGGGAGAGGUGAGUGGAAUUCCUGGUGUAGCGGUGAAAUGCGUAGAUAUCAGGAGGAACACCGGUGGUGUAGACGGCUCACUGGACCGUAACUGACGCUGAGACACGAAAGCGUGGGUAGCAAACAGG